AUGGCGAGUGGCGACACGCUGGACGAGUUCGCCGGCAAGCUCGGUGGGAUGGCAGCGCACUACGCGGCGCUCGGUGCAACGCUGGAGGACGCCGCGCUGGUAAAGAAGCUGCUCGACUCCCUGCCGGACCGCCUCUACGCGGCGGUGGCCGGGAUGGAGCAGUUCUGCGACGUGUCGACGAUGCCAUUCGAGGAAGCAUUGGGGCGCCUGAAGGCGUUCGACGAGCGGCUCCGGCGACGCGGGCAGGCAGGCGGCGAGCGGGCAGACGGCGAGCGGCUCAUGUUCACCGCAGCUCAAUGGCGGGCGCGCGAGCGGCGUCGAGGCGGUGCGCGCGGAGAGGACGACGACGACGGGGCGCGCAGCGAGGCGUCGGGCUUCGGCGGCAACAGACGAGGCAGGUGCUACAAGUGUGGUGAACGCGGGCAUUUCAAACGCGAGUGUCCGCAGCUCAAGAAGGCGCCGGCGGAGGGGCGAGCUCUGCUCGUGGACGACGUCGAGGAUGCCGGGCUGCUCUGA
rnacentral:rRNA from 1 species